AGUUUGAUCCUGGCUCAGAGUGAACGCUGGCGGCAGGCCUAACACAUGCAAGUCGAACGGCAGCACAGUAAGAGCUUGCUCUUAUGGGUGGCGAGUGGCGGACGGGUGAGGAAUACAUCGGAAUCUACUCUUUCGUGGGGGAUAACGUAGGGAAACUUACGCUAAUACCGCAUACGACCUACGGGUGAAAGCGGAGGACCUUCGGGCUUCGCGCGAUUGAAUGAGCCGAUGUCGGAUUAGCUAGUUGGCGGGGUAAAGGCCCACCAAGGCGACGAUCCGUAGCUGGUCUGAGAGGAUGAUCAGCCACACUGGAACUGAGACACGGUCCAGACUCCUACGGGAGGCAGCAGUGGGGAAUAUUGGACAAUGGGCGCAAGCCUGAUCCAGCCAUGCCGCGUGGGUGAAGAAGGCCUUCGGGUUGUAAAGCCCUUUUGUUGGGAAAGAAAAGCAGUCGGUUAAUACCCGAUUGUUCUGACGGUACCCAAAGAAUAAGCACCGGCUAACUUCGUGCCAGCAGCCGCGGUAA
rnacentral:rRNA from 1 species